GUGCAGCAGUCGAGAAUUUUUCUCAAUGGGCGAAAGCCUGAAGGAGCGACGCCGCGUGGGGGAUGAAUGGCUUCGGCCCGUAAACCCCUGUCAUUUGCGAACAAAUUGACUCACCCAACACGUGUGUCAUUGAUUGUAGCGGAAGAGGAAGGGACGGCUAACUCUGUGCCAGCAGCCGCGGUAAUACAGAGGUCCCAAGCGUUGUUCGGAUUCACUGGGCGUAAAGGGUGCGUAGGCGGUUGGGUAAGUCUGACGUGAAAUCUCCGGGCCUAACCCGGAAACUGCGUUGGAUACUAUCCGGCUAGAGGAAUGGAGGGGAGACUGGAAUACUUGGUGUAGCAGUGAAAUGCGUAGAUAUCAAGUGGAACACCAGUGGCGAAGGCGAGUCUCUGGACAUUUCCUGACGCUGAGGCACGAAAGCCAGGGGAGCAAACGGGAUUAGAUACCCGGGUAGU
rnacentral:rRNA from 1 species